rnacentral:rRNA from 1 species
CAGGGAUUGCCUCAGUAACGGCGAGUGAAGCGGCAACAGCUCAAAUUUGAAAUCCGGCCCCAGGCCCGAGUUGUAAUUUGCAGAGGAUGCUUCGGGCGCGGCGCCUUCCAAGUCCCCUGGAACGGGGCGCCACAGAGGGUGAGAGCCCCGUCAGGUCGGCCGCCAAGCCUAUGUGAAGCUCCUUCGACGAGUCGAGUAGUUUGGGAAUGCUGCUCUAAAUGGGAGGUAGACCCCUUCUAAAGCUAAAUACCGGCCAGAGACCGAUAGCGCACAAGUAGAGUGAUCGAAAGAUGAAAAGCACUUUGAAAAGAGGGUUAAACAGUACGUGAAAUUGUUGAAAGGGAAGCGCUUGUGACCAGACGUGCGCCGGGCGCUCAGCGGGCGUUCUCGCCCGUGCAUUCGCCCCGGCGCAGGCCAGCGUCGGUUCGGGAGGGGGGACAAAGGCACCAGGAACGUGGCUCCCCCGGGAGUGUUAUAGCCUGGCGCGCCAUGCCCCCGCCCGGACCGAGGUUCGCGCUCCGCAAGGACGCUGGCGUAAUGGUCCCCAGCGGCCCGUCUUGAAACACGGACCAAGGAGUCGAGGUUUUGCGCGAGUGUUUGGGUGUCAAACCCGCACGCGUAAUGAAAGUGAACGCAGGUGGGAGCUUCGGCGCACCACCGACCGAUCCUGAUGUUCUCGGAUGGAUUUGAGUAGGAGCGUAGGGCCUCGGACCCGAAAGAUGGUGAACUAUACUUGGAUAGGGUGAAGCCAGAGGAAACUCUGGUGGAGGCUCGCAGCGGUUCUGACGUGCAAAUCGAUCGUCAAAUCUGAGUAUGGGGGCGAAAGACUAAUCGAACCAUCUAGUAGCUGGUUACCGCCGAAGUUUCCCUCAGGAUAGCAGUGUUGAUCUCAGUUUUAUGAGGUAAAGCGAAUGAUUAGGGACUCGGGGGCGCUUUUCAGCCUUCAUCCAUUCUCAAACUUUAAAUAUGUAAGAAGCCCUUGUUGCUUAGUUGAACGUGGGCCUUCGAAUGCAGCAACACUAGUGGGCCAUUUUUGGUAAGCAGAACUGGCGAUGUGGGAUGAACCAUACGGGGGGUUAAGGUGCCGGAGUGGACGCUCAUCAGACACCACAAAAGGCGUUAGCACAUCUUGACAGCAGGACGGUGGCCAUGGAAGUCGGAAUCCGCUAAGGACUGUGUAACAACUCACCUGCCGAAUGUGCUAGCCCUGAAAAUGGAUGGCGCUCAAGCGUCCCACCCAUACCCCCCCCUCAGGGUAGAAACGAUGCCCUGAGGAGUAGGCGGCCGCAGCGC